UAUGGAAGCCAGGUGAGGAACAGAAAAGGUUUUCCCCACGAAAAGGGGGACUAAGGUCCUAACCCAACACAUUUCCAUGUCUGUUGGGACUGGGAGGAAAUUACAGUUUUAGCAAUAAAUGCAGAAAUCGGGACUUGAAUUUCUAGUUGGAUUUAGCAAUAUUGAAUAGCACAAAUUCGUGGUGUUGUUUUGGUUCUAAUCGGUAAUUAUUAUAAUCAUUAACUUGAGUUUCUUUGUUUGCCAUUUCCAGAGUUUGUCCAAUAACUUCAUAGUUUACUUUAAAUUCAUUGCAGGGGUUCUCCAAUUGACAAUCCAUAGUUGUAAACAGAAGGACAAAUCUGUCCUGGAAAGGAGCUUGCUUAUCAAUGCCAGGGGAAAUUAACUUCGAUGCCAUGUCUUUCAGCUCUACAGGUAUUCCAUUUAUCAGUGCUUCUUACUUUUGCUUAUGGGCUCUCCACCAUGCCAAAAGAAAAUAUAUAUUUCCUUCGUGAAUCUUAUUCUUCAAUGGAGAUGGGGACCCCCCAACCACUCACAAAGUCGCAAUAUCACAAGACAUACAAGUGCUAUUGUGCAUACACGGAUGCCAACAUGUGCAAAUGUUGUUAUUCUUUGAAAUGGAUGCUGUUUACAGGAGCAUUAGGAUUGAGAUUUUAUGGAAGAAUCCUUGUUUCUCAUGUGGGUAUUGUGUUAGGAGUAUUGAAAAUGAAUGAAUUGUUAGUUUGUAAUGCCGUAUAACAUAUAAGAUGUAUGAUAAAAUAUGGAGAAAGAGAAGGAGAUUCAUUUUAGAGAAAUGGAAGAAUCCUGUGUCUCACUCAGAAUCCUCUUUUAAUAAAGAAAGAAAGAGGACUUCAACUUGUAAGUGGAGUUCAUUGCUCACUAUCAACGGUGACACAGGCUUGGACUCUUUCUAUUUUCAGAUUUUUCAUUCCACAGAUUAAUCAAACUCUCUUAGUAAAAAAAAGAAGAAACAGGAAAAA